UUCCUGCCUGCAAGGAAUAAAAAUGAAAAGCCCUCCUCCUUCCACCAAAGCUCAAACAGAAUACAGAGGCAGCAGUAGGAGGGCCAGGAUCAUGGAUAACAGAAAUGAGGCUCACAGAAUGCCAAGGCUCCCGGGGAGUUGCCGUCUGGAUGACUGGCCAGCAGGGUUCUACGGGAGGCCUGCCUGCCCAAGCCAAGAGAAACACAUUUCCUCCUACAAUGGGCUAUUCUUUUGGCUUCUCACCUUCUCUGCCCUCUGUGCACAACCACUCUACGUGCUGCCUUAUUUGGGAGUCCACUCAAGUGGAGUUAAGCAAUUGGGAGAUGAGAGAUUUUACUUUCCUAAAUUUAAGAGCCAACGGUAUCUUCAAUCCCAGAAGUUUUCAAACUUAUUUUUAAGCAUCAAGAAUAUGAGGGGGUUUUCUAAGGUGAUGAGAAUCUUCUACAUCUCCACCGGGAUGAGGUUUAUAUGCAAAUUCUACAAAUUUGUCAAAAUCCAUCGAAUGUAUACAUAAUAUGUGUAUGCUUCAUUGUAUGUCAGUUAUACUCUAAUAAAACUGACUUUUUAAAAUGCA
rnacentral:lncRNA from 12 species